rnacentral:rRNA from 1 species
GACAGAGGGUGCAAACGUUGUUCGGAAUUACUGGGCGUAAAGCGCGUGUAGGCUGCUCAGAAAGUCGGAUGUGAAAGCCCUGGGCUUAACCUGGGAAGUGCAUUCGAAACUUCCGAGCUGGAGUUCUGGAGAGGAAGGCGGAAUUCUCGGUGUAGAGGUGAAAUUCGUAGAUAUCGAGAGGAACACCGGUGGCGAAGGCGGCCUUCUGGACAGUGACUGACGCUGAGACGCGAAAGCGUGGGGAGCAAACAGG